rnacentral:rRNA from 1 species
ACGAACGCUGGCGGCGUGCUUCACACAUGCAAGUCGAACGGAAAGGCCCUGCUUUUGUGGGGUGCUCGAGUGGCGAACGGGUGAGUAACACGUGAGUAACCUGCCCUUGACUUUGGGAUAACUUCAGGAAACUGGGGCUAAUACCGGAUAGGAGCUCCUGCUGCAUGGUGGGGGUUGGAAAGUUUCGGCGGUUGGGGAUGGACUCGCGGCUUAUCAGCUUGUUGGUGGGGUAGUGGCUUACCAAGGCUUUGACGGGUAGCCGGCCUGAGAGGGUGACCGGCCACAUUGGGACUGAGAUACGGCCCAGUCUCCUACGGGAGGCAGCAGUGGGGAAUAUUGCACAGUGGGCGGAAGCCUGAUGCAGCAACGCCGCGUGCGGGAUGACGGCCUUCGGGUUGUAAACCGCUUUCGCCUGUGACGAAGCGUGAGUGACGGUAAUGGGUAAAGAAGCACCGGCUAACUACGUG